AGCUAACAAAAAUGCAAAAUUGUUUGUUGGCAACAUUCAACAAUGGUGGUCAUUGCAAUUAGGGGUUCAGUUUCAUAUCGAAAACCUUCAACAACUCUGUACUAUACUUUUCCCCUUCAUCACCACAAUCAAUUCUUCGUACGAUCAAAUCCACAACAAAUCCUACUCAAAUUCAGCUCAAAUCUCAUCCAAAUUUCGAAUUGUAUGAUAAUUCACUCGAAUCAGUAACAAUGGCGUCUUCAAUUUGCUCAAUUCACACAUUCUCGCCGUGUUCAGUUCGUGAUCCGAGAUUCCGGAGGCCUGAAUCGCGAUUUACACACGCGAAUUUCGCUAUUCGUUCGUGUAUGAAGCCUAAUUGUUCGGUUACUACGUUACGGUGUCGUUUUGGCUUCGGUUUUGAUCUCCGGAGGUUGAAUUUGCGUGUGGAUCGUCGGAGAAUUAGGUCUGUGGUGGUGGCUGGUGGACCGAUGUUUUUUCCGGAGAAUCCGGUUGUUGGAGAUGCGUUUGCUAUGGUGUUUUCGGGUUGUUUCGCGCUUUCGAUACUUCGAGUUUAUGAGGAGACUGCUAGGAGAGGGAUUUUUGAUCAGAAACUAAAUAGGAAGCUUGUACAUACAACCAUUGGUCUGGCGUUCAUGUUAUGUUGGCCUCUCUUCAGCUCAGGUUAUCAAGGAGCCGUUAUGGCAGCUCUUAUUCCUGGUGUCAACAUAGUAAAAGUGCUUCUCAUAGGACUUGGGAUAUGGAAAGAUGAAGCAACCGUGAAAUCUAUGAGCCGAGAUGGAGACUACAGAGAACUUAUUAAGGGGCCGUUGUACUAUGCUUCCACCAUUGCUUUGUCAUCUUUAAUCUACUGGAGAACAUCUCCCAUUGCGAUUGCUGCAAUUUGCAAUCUUUGUGCUGGAGACGGUAUGGCGGACAUUAUUGGAAGGCGAUUUGGAACGAAAAAGAUUCCUUAUAACAAAGACAAAUCUUUUGCGGGGAGCAUUGCCAUGGCAGCUGCUGGUUUCAUCGUCUCUGUCGGGUACAUGCACUAUUUCUCCAUGUUUGGCUACUUUGAAGUAAGUUGGCAGAUGAUCUUCGGCUUCUUGGUUGUUUCGGUUGCUUGUGCGUUGGUUGAAUCCCACCCUAUAAGCACCACAUUUGACGACAACCUCAUGGUAAAGGAGAAACACCUUGGAAAACUUUUAAAAUUUGUAAGUAAAUUUAUAUAUGUACAGGAAAAGAACAUUAAGGCGGGACUCCGACCGCGGCACACCAGAACACCGACAAUCAAUUCAACAUUCAACAUUACAAAGCUAACUAUACCUCUUUUAUAAGUAUAGAACACAAGAACAGAUAAAUCUCUCUCUCUCUCUCUCUCUCACACACACACACACAUUAUCAAGGGAUGUCUUCAGAAUUCCUGUUCCUUUGAGACCCGCUAUUCGAAUUCUGCUUGACCGAUGAAGAACAUCCGCUGCUCUUUCUUCGCAUUAUGAGAUGAGGUGCUAAAACAAGUAAAAGGAGGAAGACCAAGAAAAUAAAAAUGACAACAAACGCCAUAAUCUCACCAUCAACGGCAUAACGCCGAUCGUGUACAGAAUCAACCCAAGGAAUUGGAGCUAAGGCGGGUGCUGGUAGGGGCGGACCAAGACUGAUAGAAGGGGUAAUCUCCGGUGCCCCUUGACGUUUCGAUGACGCUCUGACGGUAGCGUAAAUUUUGGAAAAAAAUGACGUUUUUUCGAUUUUGUCACCCCUUUUUAUUGAAACGUUACCCCUAUGCGGAUCUUCUAAAUCCGUCAUUGGAUAUAGGUACAACACACACGAAAACGACUAAUUAUCCAUGUAUAUCUAUUUUUAUUUUAUAUAUAAAGAUUUAAUAAAUGAAAGACCGGAUUAUGAAUAAAAAACAUUAAAAUUUAUUAAAAA